AGUGAACGCUGGCGGUAGGCCUAACACAUGCAAGUCGAACGGCAGCACAGUAAGAGCUUGCUCUUACGGGUGGCGAGUGGCGGACGGGUGAGGAAUACAUCGGAAUCUACUUUUUCGUGGGGGAUAACGUAGGGAAACUUACGCUAAUACUGCAUACGACCUACGGGUGAAAGCAGGGGAUCUUCGGGCCUUGCGCGAUUGAAUGAGCCGAUGUCGGAUUAGCUAGUUGGCGGGGUAAAGGCCCACCAAGGCGACGAUCCGUAGCUGGUCUGAGAGGAUGAUCAGCCACACUGGAACUGAGACACGGUCCAGACUCCUACGGGAGGCAGCAGUGGGGAAUAUUGGACAAUGGGCGCAAGCCUGAUCCAGCCAUGCCGCGUGGGUGAAGAAGGCCUUCGGGUUGUAAAGCCCUUUUGUUGGGGAAGAAAAGCAGCAGGUUAAUACCCCGCUGUUCUGACGGUACCAAAAGAAUAAGCACCGGCUAACUUCGUG
rnacentral:rRNA from 1 species